rnacentral:rRNA from 1 species
GACGAACGCUGGCGGCGUGCUUAACACAUGCAAGUCGAACGAUGAAGCCGGACCUUGCUCUGGUGAAUUAGUGGCGAACGGGUGAGUAACACGUGAGUAACCUGCCCUUGACUCUGAGAUAACUGCGGGAAACUGUAGCUAAUACCGGAUACGACCCUCGGCGGCAUCGCCAGGGGGUGGAAAGAAUUUCGGUCAAGGAUGGACUCGCGGCCUAUCAGCUAGUUGGUGAGGUAACGGCCCACCAAGGCGACGACGGGUAGCCGGCCUGAGAGGGUGACCGGCCACACUGGGACUAAGACACGGCCCAGACUCCUACGGGAGGCAGCAGUGGGGAAUAUUGCACAAUGGGCGCAAGCCUGAUGCAGCAACGCCGCGUGAGGGAUGACGGCCUUCGGGUUGUAAACCUCUUUUAGUAGGGAAGAAGCGAAAGUGACGGUACCUGCAGAAAAAGCACCGGCUAACUACGUGCCAGCAGCCGCCGUAA